UAGAAUUUGGCUUAGAACUCUGUUUGUGCUAACAAACUGUAUUUACAAGAUGUUUUUCCCCUCUUUUCUCUUCUGUGUUCACUAGCCCGUGGUGGAAGAUGCUACCCUGGAUGAAGAACCUAUAAAAGAGCAGCUUCCAAGGUUUAUAAAUAAUCUUCCCCAAAGAAGAGGUGGUGCGGCAAAGAAUGAUUGAAGCAACACAAGCUCACUGCUGGGGACGAGAACCUUGGAUGAAAAUUUGUCUGAUUGCGGUUGAUCCACGUGAGUCAGACGCAGAAUUUCUGCAAGUUGGUGUUGUGAACUCAGUUGAAGGUGUGUGUUGUCUGCCCUCUGCUGUUGGCAGCGACUUUGCUCUCUGCAAGCUGAGAAAUAAACUGAUUCCUAUCCUCUUGCUGUGUCCAUUCAAUUACUGUUUGAGUAUUCCUUAUUGUGAAGAACUUUGUUUCACAGUGAAUCACCUACUUCCAGUUUGACUUCCUUCUCUCUCAUCUGAGAGCAGUGUCUAGCCACAUGACGCUGUGUAUAUAAUAGUAAAUGAGAAAAUGCAACCCAAAUAUUGUGCGAGGAAAAACCUUAUCCUUCUGUUAGUCCCCGUGCAUCUCAGGACAAAGCAUCAAAAAGCUCAACUCAUUAGGGUCUGCUGCUUAACCUAGGAAAAGCAAUCUGCAAAGCUGUUAGAGGAAAUCAUUCUAAGGACAUCAGAAGUCCUGAUCAAAGGACCUCUAGUCAGUACCUCUUUAUUACUUUCAGGCUUUUGCAAGAAUUACACUGUGGUGGAAGUUACGCUGGCAUGUGAAGUCUGUAAUUUUUUUUUUUUAAUUUCUUUUAAAAUGCAUUGAAAGUUAAGGGGGAAAGUCAGUUCACCGGCCUUUUAAGCACCUGGAUGCUUAAAACUAGAGGAGCCUGAACCUCAUUUGUGCAGGUACUUUUAACAGGUGCCAGAAAUCCUGUGCUAUGUAAACCCCUCUAUGGAAGCGGGAGGAUUGUAUCCACACCAGAAAGGUGUGGGACUGGAUGCAAAGAUUUGGCACCUAAGGUUGGUACAGUAUUGCAUGUGGUGAAAUUAAUUGCGAAUUUCCAGAUGCUCAAAACUUGAUUCGGCUUUUAUGUAAAAUUGCUUGCAUAUCUGAGUUGCUUAAACUAGGUAUCAUGAUCCAAAUAACUUCAUGUAACUACUAAGAGGUAAAAACUCUCUUUUCUGGUAAAUAUUUUCAUUCUGGG
rnacentral:lncRNA from 1 species